GCGAAGAACCUUACCUACUCUUGACAUCCAGAGAACUUUCCAGAGAUGGAUUGGUGCCUUCGGGAACUCUGAGACAGGUGCUGCAUGGCUGUCGUCAGCUCGUGUUGUGAAAUGUUGGGUUAAGUCCCGCAACGAGCGCAACCCUUAUCCUUGUUUGCCAGCGAGUAAUGUCGGGAACUCCAGGGAGACUGCCGGUGAUAAACCGGAGGAAGGUGGGGACGACGUCAAGUCAUCAUGGCCCUUACGAGUAGGGCUACACACGUGCUACAAUGGCGCAUACAGAGGGCGGCCAACUUGCGAAAGUGAGCGAAUCCCAAAAAGUGCRUMGURGUCCGGAUUGGAGUCUGCAACUCGACUCCAUGAAGUCGGAWUCG
rnacentral:rRNA from 1 species